GGGUUAGUAACGCGUAGGUAACGUACCUCAGGGUUCGGGAUAACUCAUCGAAAGGUGGGCUAAUACCGGAUAUUAUACCGACACGCCUGUGUUGGCUAUGAAAGACGGGGACCUUCGGGCCCGUCACCCCGAGAGCGGCCUGCGUCCUAUCAGCUUGUUGGUGAGGUAACGGCUCACCAAGGCUUACGGGUAGCCGGACUGAGAGGUUGACCGGCAACACUGGGACUGAGACACUGCCCAGACUCCUACGGGAGGCUGCAGUCGAGAAUCUUUUCCAAUGGGCGAAAGCCUGAGAAUGCGACGCCGCGUGCGGGAUGAAGGCCUUCGGGUUGUAAACCGCUGUCAGGGGUUAGGAAGUGCGGGUAUGUAAAUAGCAUAUUCGUUUGACCGGCCCCAGAGGAAGCCAUGGCUAACUCCGUGCCAGCAGCCGCGGUAAUACGGAGAUGGCAAGCGUUGUUCGGAAUUACUGGGCAUAAAGAGCACGUAGGCGGGUCUGUAAGUCAGAUGUGAAAUCCCUCGGCUCAACCGAGGAAUUGCGUUUGAUACUGCAGUCCUUGAGUGCAGGAGGGGAGAGUGGAAUUCCUGGUGGAGCGGUGAAAUGCGUAGAUAUCAGGAAGAACGCCGGAGGCGAAAGCGACUCUCUGGCCUGUUACUGACGCUGAGGUGCGAAAGCCAAGGGAGCGAACAGGAUUAGAUACCCUGGUAGUCUUGGCUGUAAACGAUGGGCACUAAGUGGAGGGAACUCUGAUGUUUUCUCUGCUGAAGCUAAUGUGAUAAGUGCCCCGCCUGGGGAGUAUGGCCGCAAGGUUAAAACUCAAAGGAAUUGACG
rnacentral:rRNA from 1 species